ACGAGGUGACUGCUGAGCUUCCUUCUGGUAUCUGAAACGGUCUGAUUUGUGAUAUCGUGAUUAAUCCCAUUAAUUCCCUCUCCCACGAUGAAGUCUUCAAUGCGUCGUUCGGAUCUGCGGCUCGGUGUGUAAUAUGUAUAAAUAUGUGAGUAUUUAUCAUCCUUGAACUCAUCCUCUCUUCAUAUCUCUUACAAUUAGUUUGUGAGUAUUUCUAGAUCUUCAUAUUUAGUUUGUAUGCAGAUUUUCCAGUGAACUGGUCUCGUGUUUAAUGAUACUGAUACUGCUGAAGCAACAUUUGUUUGGUUUGAUGGUGUAAUGACAAAACUACAUAACCUUAGAGCAAGUGAAGCCGGUUAGAUGCUGGUAAGAUACACUUCCGACUACUUACGUGUUUACAACCUAUUACAUACUAACUCGCUUUGUAUUUUUUUUCAUGUCCAAUAGGCUGAAGACGGAGUGAACCCUGACUCUAAUAUGCUUCCGUUCAUUGCAGAUAUGGAAGGAAAGACGUACACUUUCCAGGUCAGAGUCACUGUGUAUAACUUCACCGAAAACCAUUAGACAUUCACCAUAACGCGCGUUGUUGAUGAGGUCAACCAUGUGCCAGUCCCCGCCGUGGCCGACAAUAUAAGGUGAUAACGACAAUGAUGAUGACACCAUGCAAGAUGGCGAGCCAAUUCCUGUUGAGAUUGAAUCCGGAGGAGACGGUGGUAAUGCAUCAUCCAAUGCUGGAACGGGUCCAAUUGGUCAUUCGCAGAAGAAGACGGACGUCUCAUCUUCCAGGGUGGUCAAGAAGACGAUAGCUCUGAAUCAGAUGGUGCUGAUGGAGUAACCAAUAUAGUCUACAAGGAGAUCUUCGAGGGCCUCCAAGACACAAAGGGAAAGAAGCCAAUGUGGUCUUGAACAAUUAUGGACUUCGACCAAGAUCACGUUAUUGACUGUUCUGAGCAUCAUCAACUGACGCGUUCACACAAUAUUAGAUAACAAUUUAUGAAACUGUGUUGAUGAAUAAUUGAAAUACAUAAUGAGUAAGGGCUUCGUGAUGUUCCAAUCAUUAAGAGGAGUCAUAUGACACGAACAUGAUACUCAUCAUACCACCACGAGCCUGCGAGCUCAAAGAACUUGAGAAGAGAUGUCCUAAAUGUUUUUACUACAAGAAAAUGGAAAAUUUCCUGCAGCUGAUGUACCGUGGCUAGAAUCUCCCAUAGAUUUACGUCUUUUUUUUAUCAUUUCAGUUGACGUUUCAUUAAG